GGAACAAAAAUCGCGCAAGGGGCAAUCUCGUUAUUUUUCGCAACGGUGUCGGAAUGGGCUCAAAUUUGACAGGUUGAUCGGAAACAAAAAUUUAUCCAGGUGCAAUUUCGUCAUUUUAAGCGACGGUGUCGGAAUGGGCUAAAAUUUGAGAGGUUGAUCGGAAACAAAAAUUUAUCCGGGGGCAAUUUCGUCAUUUUUCGCGACGGUGUCGGAAUUGGC
rnacentral:lncRNA from 1 species